AAAACGGCCCUUUUCAGGGCCACAAUUAAUCUAAGGAAGUUUUAGU
rfam:Zootermopsis nevadensis contig1534, whole genome shotgun sequence.